UACGAAGGGGGCUAGCGUUGCUCGGAAUUACUGGGCGUAAAGCGCACGUAGGCGGAUUGUUAAGUCAGGGGUGAAAUCCUGGAGCUCAACUCCAGAACUGCCUUUGAUACUGAGGAUCUUGAGUUCGGGAGAGGUGAGUGGAACUGCGAGUGUAGAGGUGAAAUUCGUAGAUAUUCGCAAGAACACCAGUGGCGAAGGCGGCUCACUGGCCCGAUACUGACGCUGAGGCACGAAAGCGUGGGGAGCAAACAGG
rnacentral:rRNA from 1 species